rnacentral:snRNA from 1 species
AUACUUACCUGGACGGGAUCUAUGGGCGAUCAAGAAGGCCCAUUGCCUAGGGUGUUGGCCUCCAUUGCACUUAGGAGGAGCAAUACCCUAAGAUCUCCUCAAGUGGGAGAGUCUACGUCAUAAUUUAUUUAUGAGGGAACCUGCGUUCGCGCGGCCCCUAU